CAGAGUUGAAUUAAUGUGUUACUAUUUUUGGAACGCCUGUGUUUCCAGGGGAAACCUAAUGACGCAAUGACGUCAAUGCAGGUCAACAGCAGACUGGAGGAAUUGAGCGCUUCCAUUAGAUUUUGCAGUAUUUUCCAGAAACGCGGAAAGGACAAAAUGGAUUAGUUUAAAAUGUACUAAAAACACCAGAGUGUCAUUUAAAAACAGUAAAGAUCAAUACGAGAGCAGCACAUUCGAAUUUAUUGGAAUUAUUAUUAUAAGAAGCAAAUGGAGAAAGAAAAAAAAAAAAAGAAAAAAAAAAGAUCUCGCCUUCCUUGAAGCGUCGCUUGCACGAUUGCAGGCACCAUCAUCGGUGUGACGAAAACCCCUUCUUUCUCCAUCUCUUCCACAAACUGUGGGUGUGUGCAGCACAGGGCGUUCACCGCGGUGGGUGGGUUUCAGCACCGUGGACAGCAGCCCGUUCAGCACCACGGACAGCACCCGUUUAAUUAACACGCCUCCUUCAAUCAACCCGAAUACACCACAUCAGCGCUUCCAAUACAUGAAGCUGAUUUCCAGGUCCCUGUCUUGUCCUUUUCAGGUCUUUUUGCGGUCUGGGCUUGCUGUUCCUUGAACCAGUAGCCAGGAAGCCCUUACCCCAAAAAGUAUCUGCAGAGGACCAAAACAUCUUAACAGACAUACCAAGCUCUAUCUCCAUCAAAACCCAGACUGCCAAAAAGAAAAGUGUUCUUUUGCAUAGCACACUCAUAAAUGUUAUGUUUUUGUUUUUUGUUUGGUUAAACAAACAUUUUGGUGAUCUAAGUAUUUACGUUUAAUAGCAAAUUAACCUGAAGGGUUCCUAAAACAGCCAUAAACCUCACAGUACCGCAUUUUGCAUAGAUCUAGCAAUACACAUUGUGUGGAAAAUUUACAAACCUUUUACAUUUGAAUAGAAUUUGACCUCCGUCUAAAAAUAAACUAAAAUCCUGUCUCAAAUCAACUAAAAACACAGUGGGUGAAGGAGAACAGAAACAAAACCUACAUUUACAUCAGUGCAGAAAUUAAGGCACGGCCCUCACCACAUGUGUGACGCACAAGAUGAACCGUGACAAUGCACUUAGCAACCUCAAUCUGAAAGCAACCAGAUCAUAACUUUUACUUGUUGGCCUGGAUAACUGAUACUGCUUAAUUAGAUGAUAUUAUAUUAAUAUAUAAAAAUUGUAAUCUGAAUCUGUAGGAUAUGGAGAUAUUUUGCAUAAAGGAAUCAUAGGGAUGCCAAGAAUUGUUUGUGAAAAAUGUUUUAUGAUCCAAUUUUUAGGUUACGCUUUAUUUUACGGUGUCUUUGUUGCAGUAAUUAUACAUUUAAGUACUGAGUAAUAUUAAUUAACUACAUGUACUUACUACAUGGUUAGGGUUAGUAUUAGGGUUUGUCUUAGCAUUACUUGCAUGUAAUUAUGCAUGAUUUAUUGUUAUUAUAAUAGUAAGUACAUGUAACGUGUAACAAGGACACCUUAAAAAAAAGUGUUCCCAAUUUUUAUUCUUUACAUAAUUUCUUUACAAAAAGCAGUUCAUUUUUAAUAUUUUGAAUGAAAUAAUAAUAAUUUUCUAGAGCCUUUCUCAUAUUUACAAAUGGUGACAAUAACAUUAAACUUUAAAAAUCUAGAUUGAAUAAAAUGUCAAUUUUGAAUUUCAUACCUGUGGUAAAUGAAGUGUAAAAUAAAUAAAUAGGGGGGGGGGGGUCCAUCUCAAAAAAAAUUUAAAUAAAAAGUGUAAUAAAAUUAAUGUACCAUUCCAUCAAUAUUGAUUUAUAUUAUAAUACUGCAGUAGUUACUUAAACAUGCAACAGUCUAUUCAUUAAUAUAUGCGGUUGCAUUUAUGAGUUUGUUGGUCUACGCAAAAAAAAGAAGAAGUCAUUUAUUAGCCCAUAAAACCUUUGAGAAUAUCAAUAAGUGUUUAAUGCUUUUUAAAUAAAUUUAGUCAGUUCUCAAGGAUAAAGAAAUAUAGAAGUAGAACUUAUCGCAUUGUUCAUUAUCUUUCUCCUUCCCACUAAACGUUUUAUUCUAUUAAACUUUAUAAAAAAAACAUUAAAAGUCAGUUUCAGUCAGCCCGACAGACUGUCAUACUUUUAAUGCAUUAUAUAAUACAAUACAGAAAAGUACUGAAGAGAAACACAGAAGAAGCUUAAAUGGGUCAUAAAGACUGUAUAUGAAUGGCAACUGCUCUCCCUUUUGGUGCCUAUGACAGCCAUAAGAUAUGAGAGUUGGGUAUUCAGCCAGGUCCAUGGGCAUCUUGCUAUUGUGCUUUCUCGCCCAGAGCAUUUAUCCCCAUAACUUCCUGCCCAUUCACCAGGACACCAGCUGAGUGCUUUGGUCAUGUGACUCUACUGUCCGCAGGCCUUUCCGUUGUCUCCGCUCUUCUCUGGGAGAUCAUGCACUUUAAAAAAAGAGAUACCAUAUGCUUGACAGAUAAAUAUAAAUAAGGUAUAAAUGAUGUAUUAAGUAUAAAUAAGGUUCACCCAAAUUAAUAUUCAAUAAAUAUCAAUGUAUCAGGUGUUUAGCAGUAGAGCGGAAUCAGAGAAGCCUAACUCACAAAGACCAGGUUUAUAACAUUACAUCAAAUUGAUAGUUUAGAGAAUGUAUUCAAAGUAUUUCCUGUCCCUCUCUCUUUUUUAAUAAAUGCAUAAUCCCUCCUGUACUAAUGACAAUGUGACCCUCAUAUUGGAGACAGGGUUAGUCCCUUUGAAUUAUGAUCCAAAAACAUGGCACAUAAUUUGUGUCACCAUUUAGCCUUGGGAAAUGGAGCAGUGCUCUGCCGAUGUCAUCAGCAUAGGACGUACUGUUGUGGAACCACUUUUUGGAUCUCCAUGUUGUAACAAACCUAAUGAAGUCACUACUGUAGAUGUUAGUUCUCAUUUUGAAAAUAAAGGUUUCAAUUCAAUGUACUUAUUAUUUUAUUAUUUAAUUACUUCUUAUUGACAAUAUUUUGUUAAACAAUGUAAACAACUUUAAUUAAAACAUUGAUGUUU